UACAGAGGGUGCGAGCGUUAAUCGGAUUUACUGGGCGUAAAGGGCGCGUAGGCGGUCGUAUGAGUGUGAUGUGAAAGCCCCGGGCUCAACCUGGGAAGUGCAUCGCAAACGAUACGACUGGAGUACAUGAGAGGGUGGCGGAAUUUCCGGUGUAGCGGUGAAAUGCGUAGAGAUCGGAAGGAACGUCGAUGGCGAAGGCAGCCACCUGGCAUGAUACUGACGCUGAGGCGCGAAAGCGUGGGGAGCGAACAGG
rnacentral:rRNA from 1 species